AUGGCGUCAAAUAGCGCUUUUGCUGAGUUGCUCGGGAACUGCAAGUUGGAUGGCACACACUUCAAUGUUUGGAAAAGGAAGAUGAUGUUUCUACUUACAGCAGAGAAUAUUGAGUAUGUAAUUUCGACCGCCGAGCCUAACAAACCUGCUGAUGGUGCUUCGGGUGAGGAAAAGGAUAAUUAUGCGGAAGAACUCAAGGAGUGGAAUAAGGACAAUAACAAGGCUAGGAUUUUUAUUCUUGGCUCCAUGUCUGAUUCGUUGGCAGGUGAAUAUGAAACAGAGGUUGCUGCACACAGGAUUAUGAUAAGGCUGGAAGUGGAUUUUGGUGAAGUUUCUUUAAUCAAAGUGCUUAGCUUGCUGAACAGAUUCUUGACGUCUAAGAUGGCAGAUAAUACUUAUGUCAAUGAGCACUUAAACAAGUUGUGA
rnacentral:rRNA from 1 species